CCCUUUAUUUUCUGCAUUCUGCAAGUCUACUGCUUUAGUGCACCAGGGCUGUGACGCUUUGUUGGGGGUGACAGGUAGGUGAAGAAAAGACGCAACUUUUGCCUGCUGCUGGUAAGAAGAAAUAAAUUUCUGGGUUUGGUUGGAGGACAUGGGGGAAGAAAAGUAUCCAAGAGAGACAAGGGACUGAGACUUCUCAUCUCUUUCUCUUUUCAUUGACCAGUCUUGACCUGGAGGGCCAAGCCUAAGCUCAAGCUUCUUCUCCUCUGAGGAGGAGCUUCCAUGGCCGCUGCUUCUCUCAAUAUAUCUGCUCACAAGCCAGUCUCUCUCUCUUGGAAUCAAAUCUAGCAGUUGUGGACAUGCCUCCUUCUCCUUCCUUGUACAUCCCUCCAUCUCAGUGGCCAUAUCUAAAGACUCAGUUGUUGGGAUGACCCAAGUGAAAAAAUCAAAUUUUUUUCCUCCCCUUGUACUUUCAGACACCAGAUGUACAGAUUGGAGGAACUGCACUGAGAAAUGGAAGGAACAGAAAAGUUAGAGGAGAUUAACAAGCUUGGCAUAAAAAAGAAGAAAAAGGGACGAAAGGGGAGAAAGGGGUUUACCUUACGAAUUUCUUUAGCCAAAGCUCAUAACUUUGAAGGCCAACAUCCUCAUGUACUCAAAUUGCUCACUUGGUCUCACACACACCUUUGAUAUCAAAAUAUCUUGAAGAAACAAGCACAAAGGAAAAACCAAAACCUCACAAGGGUUAGAAACCCAAAAACACAAAAGGGAUAGGGAAGCUAAAAUAGGGUAGGGAUUGAUGUAUAUGGGUUUUUUUUUUUCCUUUAAAUUUGAUGCAGGCUUUUUAGUGGGUUCUCUCUCUCCUUUUCUUUUUUCCCUCUCCCUCUCUCUACUUUUGGGACUCGUGGGUUUUAUGAGUAAUUGUUGUGAGAAGAUUUUACAAAGUAGUCUCGCUAGCGUUAUCUAUUUACAAAUAAAAAAAUGAAAACCAAAACGAAAAAAAGAUGAAAAAAACUUUCUUUAUUACAGUAACAUAGAUAGUAGAUUAUGUGUUUUUAUAUAAGUGAUGACAAAUUUUACUUUUUAAGUUAUUAACUUUUUUAACGCAUAUAUCUCACUAUUUACAUAAUGACACGUGAUGUAUCAUUCAAUGUUCUGAUCACAUUUAAAAAUCUCUCUAAAAGAUGAGAGAUGGGCAGAGAGAUUCCCUUCACCCCAAAGAACACCAAAACAGGAAACAGAAAUUAGAGCAAAACGCACGCAACCAGAUCCCCUCUCCGUCUCAAAACACAACGUUAAUAAGAGGAGGAGGUUGUUCAACCCAGGAAGCAAAGCGUGCUGUGCUGACCUCUCUCUCUUUCUCACUCUCUCUCUCUCUCUCUAAAAACACUCGAUGGUCUACCACGCAGUCACCAACCCCAAAUGUUGUUCAGCCUCAUUAGCACACAACCCCAAACAUCCCCUCUUUAUUUGAAAAAGAGAGAAUGACAUUCUUUGCUCACAAAGUCACCGCCCUAUUUGCCAAAAGCCUAGUGCUUUACAUUGCAUUGAUGUUAAUAAAAGUUAAUUUAGUACAUACAAACUUCAUUUAACACAAACCCCGAUACGUUUUUACCACUUUUAGCACCGAAGUCACUCGAUGAAGUAUAUGUCAAUCCAUAUUAUAGAUUGAUUAUACAACAUAUUUUUACUUUAUUGUUUUUUAUAGAGACAAUAUUUAGGAUAAGGCCUAAUCGGAUAAAUGGUCCCCGUGGUCAUAAGGUAUUCGGAUGAUAGCCUCUGUGGUAAAAAAAUUCGGAUUUAAACCCCUGUGGUUACAGUCUGUUAGGAUUUAAACCCUUGUGGUCUAAGUCUGUUAGGAUUUACUCCCUUCUGUCAUUCCUCCAUUAGGUUUAGGUUGGCCAAAUCAGAUAAAUGGUCUCCGUGGUCAUAAGGAAUUCGGAAGAUAGCCCAUGUGGUAGAAAAAAUUCAGAUUUAAACCCCUGUGGUCUAAGUCUAUUAGGAUUUAUGCCUAAAAUUAGAGGUACUGUCAUUCCUUCGUUAAGCUUACAGGUGGAGCAGAGUUUUUCUGAGUAUCUAUCAAUAAAAAAUAUCUUACAAUAAAAAGAGGGGGGGAGAGAAGAUUUUUAGUUUAUGGUAAAAAAAUUCAUUCAUCUCAGUUAUUUCACAAGAAGAAAAAAACUAAAACAGAAAAUCUGUUGAAUUUCAAAUAGUUAGUUUCACCAAAUAGGAUACGAAAACUUGCUUCACAUUUACAAUUACACAAAAAAAAAACUAUUUAUCUCAGAGAGGUUUACGUAAAAUUAUGGGAAAACGCCAACAAUUACUGUCUUAUUUGUCAAAGAAAAAUAGAAUAUAUUAUAAAGAAUUAAUUAAUCGGUUGGAUAUUCGGAGUCAAAAACUGGUUAAUUUUUAUAAAGGCAUUUUGAAUUAUUAGAUUUAUUAGAUCUUGAAUUUUAAUGAAUUAUGUGAUUUAUUAGUUCCACCUCGUUCUGUUGCGUCUCCUCAGAGAAACUCUGCUCCACCUAUAAGCUUAGCUAAGAAAUGACAGAACCUCUAGUUUCGGGCAUAAAUCCUAACAAACUUAGACCACAGGGGUUUAAAUCCAAUUUUUUUUUACCACAGGGACUAUCUUCCGAAUACUUUAUGACCACGGGAACCAUUUAUCCGAUUUUGCCAACCUAAACCUAAUGGAGAAAUGACAGAAGGGCAUAAAUCCUAACAGACUGUGACCACAGGGGUUUAAAUCUGAAUUUUUUUACCACAGAAACUAUCAUUCGAAUACCUUAGGAUCACGAUCACCAUUUAUACGAUUAGGUCUUAGGAUAAAUAGCUCAUGUUCACGCUCACAUUCGUCUUUUAUGAUUGUUCAUGAUAGGAAGACUCGACGACACGACAACAUGAGGGCCAAUCCUUGUGCUCCACUUGUUUACAAUGACAUUCUUGCUUCCAAGUCACUAGCUAAUAAGUCUAGUGAUUUUUUCCAAAAAAAAAAAGGCCUAGUGAUUUAUAUUGAAUUGAUGUUAAUAAAAGUUGAUUUAGUACACAACCCUUGUAGAUUUCUUGUUUAGCACAAAACCCAACACUGCCCUUCAUUAGUGGUAAAGUCACUUGAUUAAGUAGGUGUUAAUUUGGGAGGAUAGGAUAAGCAAAGACACGUGUUAUCUUGUCAGGCUUAGCUUUUCAGUUUAAUAAACUAAUGGGGUUACUUUUUAUCAGGCCAAGAAAUUGAUGGAUGGGAUGUUGUCAUUGGUGUAUUGGCCAAUUAAUUUUUUUUUUUUCAUUUAUUUAUUCAUUUUUAAUAUUAUGUGCUCCCAAGAAAAAAAAAAGAGAGAGAAAAAGGAUUUGCAUGAUCCAUUGCCGGGCUUGUGCUAUAAAAACAUGCAGAUCCCAUGAUCUCUCUCUCUCUCCCCCCCUCUCUCUUCGUUGCCAUCCACACAUACAGUGGUGAUCUGGUGUGGGAGAGUCGACCGCAAAACUGUGCAAACCAUACACACCAUAGCCGUUGGAUUCGUGAUUUGUCAUGGCAUUUGAUGUGAUGCAACGCGCAACAGGACACAGAGCUCAAGGGAACUGGUACUGUACUCUGACCAGCAGCAGCUUAAAGGAGAGCUGGUUUUGAUAGAGAUGGGAAGUUUUAUACUCUACGUUAAAGAGUUUGAAUAACUCGGCAAAUAAUCGCCUAUCGGUCAGGUUUGUUUUCUCACCAUAAUUGGUGGUUCACCAACCAGCAAAUACUGCACACUUCAUGACCAAAUGAUGCCCUCUGAUUUAUUUAUUUAUGGAACAUAAAUUAUUUAAAGAGAAAAACCACAAUUACAACUACUUUUAGAACAAUCGAAGAGAAAAGCAUUUUUAGCAGUAGUGGAUAAAAAUUCUAUCCCAAAUAAAAGAUCAUGAAUAGAGUACCCCCAAUGCUAGUAAUGGCAUUG
rnacentral:lncRNA from 1 species